rnacentral:rRNA from 1 species
AACGAACGCCGGCGGCAUGCCUAACACAUGCAAGUCGAACGAGACCUGCGGGUCUAGUGGCGCACGGCUGCGUAACGCGUGGGAAACUGCCCUUAGGUUCCGACUAAUUCCCCGAAAGGGGUGCUAAUACCGGCAAAUAUCUUCGGUCCACAGACUUAUCGCCGAAGGUUGGGCCCGUGUUGGAUUAGCUAGUUGGUAGUGUAAAAGCCUACCAUGGCGACGAUCCAUAGAUGGUCUGUGAGGAUGCUUGGCCAAACUGGGACUGGGACACGGCGCAGACUCCGAGGAAAAGGAGCAGUGAGGAAUAAUGUAGGAAGCGGGAUAAGGUGAUACUGCAAUGUCGCGAGAGAGAUGAAGGCCUUAGGAUUCUAAAACUCUGGUGCCCAGAGUGAUAAUGACAUUACCGGGAGAAUAAGCUCCGGCUAACUCCGUG